rnacentral:rRNA from 1 species
AUUGAACGCUGGCGGCAGGCCUAACACAUGCAAGUCGAACGAGUGGCGGACGGGUGAGUAAUGUCUGGGAAACUGCCUGAUGGAGGGGGAUAACUACUGGAAACGGUAGCUAAUACCGCAUACCAUCGGAUGUGCCCAGAUGGGAUUAGCUAGUAGGUGGGGUAAAGGUUCACCUAGGCGACGAUCCGUAUCUGGUCUGAGAGGAUGAACGGCCACACUGGAACUGAGACACGGUCCAGACUCCUACGGUAGGCAGCAGUGGGGUAUAUUGUACAAUGGGCGAAAGCCUGAUGCAGCCAUGCCGCGUGUAUGAAGAAGGCCUUCGGGUUGUAAAGUACUUUCAGCUGGGAGGCGUUACCCGCAGAAUAAGCACCGGCUAACUCCGUGCCAGCAGCCGCGGUAAUUC